rfam:Schistosoma haematobium scaffold214_4, whole genome shotgun sequence.
AUCCAGCUGAAGAGUCCGAAAUAGAACGAAACUUGCGUCCAACUAGAU